rnacentral:rRNA from 1 species
AGUCUGAUGGAGCAACGCCGCGUGAGUGAAGAAGGGUUUCGGCUCGUAAAGCUCUGUUGGUAGUGAAGAAAGAUAGAGGUAGUAACUGGCCUUUAUUUGACGGUAAUUACUUAGAAAGUCACGGCUAACUACGUGCCAGCAGCCGCGGUAAUACGUAGGUGGCAAGCGUUGUCCGGAUUUAUUGGGCGUAAAGCGAGUGCAGGCGGUUCAAUAAGUCUGAUGUGAAAGCCUUCGGCUCAACCGGAGAAUUGCAUCAGAAACUGUUGAACUUGAGUGCAGAAGAGGAGAGUGGAACUCCAUGUGUAGCGGUGGAAUGCGUAGAUAUAUGGAAGAACACCAGUGGCGAAGGCGGCCCUCUGGUCUGCAACUGACGCUGAGGCUCGAAAGCAUGGGUAGCGAACAGGAUUAGAUACCCUGGUAGUCCAUGCCGUAAACGAUGAGUGCUAAGUGUUGGGAGGUUUCCGCCUCUCAGUGCUGCAGCUAACGCAUUAAGCACUCCGCCUGGGGAGUACGAACGCAAGGUUGAAACUCAAAGGAAUUGACGGGGGCCCGCACAAGCGGUGGAGCAUGUGGUUUAAUUCGAAGCAACGCGAAGAACCUUA